UACGUAGGGAGCAAGCGUUGUUCGGAAUCACUGGGCGUAAAGGGCGCGUAGGCGGCUAUUCAAGUCGGGGGUGAAAGCCUGUGGCUCAACCACAGAAUUGCCUUCGAUACUGUUUGGCUUGAGACCGGAAGAGGUAAGUGGAACUGCGAGUGUAGAGGUGAAAUUCGUAGAUAUUCGCAAGAACACCAGUGGCGAAGGCGGCUUACUGGUCCGGUUCUGACGCUGAGGCGCGAAAGCGUGGGGAGCAAACAGG
rnacentral:rRNA from 1 species